CAGUAGCCACGGGAAUACAGAGGUCCCAAGCGUUACUGAGAAUCACUGGGUUUAAAGGGUGCGUAGGUGGUCCGUUAAGUCAGUUGUGAAAUCCCCGGGCUCAACCCGGGAACUGCUUCUGAUACUGGCGGACUUGAGGCCAGUAGAGGUCACUAGAACAGACGGUGGAGCGGUGAAAUGCGUAGAUAUCGUCUGGAAUGCCGGUGGUGAAGACGGGUGACUGGGCUGGUUCUGACACUGAGGCACGAAAGCGUGGGGAGCGAACGGGAUUAGAUACCCGCGUAGUCCCUGUCUCUUAUAA
rnacentral:rRNA from 1 species